CCUUACGGCUCAGUAACACGUGGAUAACCUGCCCUUGGGUCCGGCAUAACCCCGGGAAACUGGGGAUAAUUCCGGAUAACGCACAUAUGCUGGAAUGCUUUAUGCGUCAAAUGGAUUCGUCUGCCCAAGGAUGGGUCUGCGGCCUAUCAGGUAGUAGUGGGUGUAAUGUACCUACUAGCCAACAACGGGUACGGGUUGUGAGAGCAAGAGCCCGGAGAUGGAUUCUGAGACAUGAAUCCAGGCCCUACGGGGCGCAGCAGGCGCGAAAACUUUACAAUGCGGGAAACCGUGAUAAGGGGACACCGAGUGCCAGCAUCAUAUGCUGGCUGUCCGGGUGUGUAAAAUACACCUGUUAGCAAGGGCCGGGCAAGACCGGUGCCAGCCGCCGCGGUAACACCGGCGGCCCGAGUGGUGAUCGUGAUUAUUGGGUCUAAAGGGUCCGUAGCCGGUUUGGUCAGUCCUCCGGGAAAUCUGAUAGCUCAACUAUUAGGCUUUCGGGGGAUACUGCCAGGCUUGGAACCGGGAGAGGUAAGAGGUACUACAGGGGUAGGAGUGAAAUCUUGUAAUCCCUGUGGGACCACCUGUGGCGAAGGCGUCUUACCAAAACGGGUUCGACGGUGAGGGACGAAAGCUGGGGGCACGAACCGGAUUAGAUACCCGGGUAGUCCCAGCCGUAAACGAUGCUCGCUAGGUGUCAGGCAUGGCGCGACCGUGUCUGGUGCCGCAGGGAAGCCGUGAAGCGAGCCACCUGGGAAGUACGGCCGCAAGGCUGAAACUUAAAGGAAUUGGCGGGGGAGCAC
rnacentral:rRNA from 1 species